GAUGAACGCUGGCGGCGUGCCUAAUACAUGCAAGUCGAGCGAACAGACGAGGAGCUUGCUCCUCUGACGUUAGCGGCGGACGGGUGAGUAACACGUGGAUAACCUACCUAUAAGACUGGGAUAACUUCGGGAAACCGGAGCUAAUACCGGAUAAUAUAUUGAACCGCAUGGUUCAAUAGUGAAAGACGGUUUUGCUGUCACUUAUAGAUGGAUCCGCGCCGCAUUAGCUAGUUGGUAAGGUAACGGCUUACCAAGGCAACGAUGCGUAGCCGACCUGAGAGGGGGAUCGGCCACACUGGAACUGAGACACGGUCCAGACUCCUACGGGAGGCAGCAGUAGGGAAUCUUCCGCAAUGGGCGAAAGCCUGACGGAGCAACGCCGCGUGAGUGAUGAAGGUCUUCGGAUCGUAAAACUCUGUUAUUAGGGAAGAACAAAUGUAUAAGUAACUAUGCACGUCUUGACGGUACCUAAUCAGAAAGCCACGGCUAACUACGUG
rnacentral:rRNA from 1 species